UCGAUUUGGAGUUUGUUGCCUAGAGUGAUGGGCUCCGAAGCUAACGCGAUAAAUCGACCGCCUGGGGAGUACGGCCGCAAGGUUAAAACUCAAAUGAAUUGACGGGGGCCCGCACAAGCGGUGGAGCAUGUGGUUUAAUUCGAUGCAACGCGAAGAACCUUACCUGGUCUUGACAUCCACAGAAUCUUUCAGAGAUGAGGGAGUGCCUUCGGGAACUGUGAGACAGGUGCUGCAUGGCUGUCGUCAGCUCGUGUUGUGAAAUGUUGGGUUAAGUCCCGCAACGAGCGCAACCCUUAUCCUUUGUUGCCAGCGAUUAGGUCGGGAACUCAAAGGAGACUGCCGUUGAUAAAACGGAGGAAGGUGGGGACGAC
rnacentral:rRNA from 1 species